UACGUAGGGGGCUAGCGUUGUCCGGAAUCAUUGGGCGUAAAGAGCGUGUAGGCGGCCCGGUAAGUCCGCUGUGAAAGUCGGGGGCUCAACCCUCGAAUGCCGGUGGAUACUGUCGGGCUAGAGUGCGGAAGAGGCGAGUGGAAUUCCUGGUGUAGCGGUGAAAUGCGCAGAUAUCAGGAGGAACACCGAUUGCGAAGGCGGGUUGCUGGGCUGACACUGACGCUGAACUGCGAAAGCUAGGGGAGCGAACGGG
rnacentral:rRNA from 1 species